rnacentral:rRNA from 1 species
CCUACGGGUGGCAGCAGUGGGGAAUAUUGCACAAUGGGGGAACCCCUGAUGCAGCGACGCCGCGUGAGUGAAGAAGUAUUUCGGUACGUAAAGCUCUAUCAGCAGGGAAGAAAAACCGGCCUUAGGGCCGCCAGACGGUACCUGACUAAGAAGCCCCGUCUAACUACGUCCCAGCAGCCGCGGUAAUACGUAGGGGGCAAGCGUUAUCCGGAUUUACUGGGUGUAAAGGAGGCGGAGACGGCAGCGCAAGUCUGGAGUGAAAUGCCGGGGCCCAACCCCGGAACUGCUUUGGAAACUGUGCAGCUUGAGGGCAGGAGAGGUAAGCGGAAUUCCUAGUGUAGCGGUGAAAUGCGUAGAUAUUAGGAGGAACACCAGUGGCGAAGGCAGCUUACUGGACUGUAACUGACGUUGAGGCUCGAAAGCGUGGGGAGCAAACAGGAUUAGAUACCCUAGUAGUC